UUCAAUAUUCAUAACUGCAAGUCAGUGGCCUCACAAUUUAGCUGAUCUUGAUGAGCUCGUGAAUUCUGGCUGGGAAGGGAGAGUCGAAGAGGCUACUGAAAGUCAGCACCAGCUUUUUCUCAUGUGUCCAUGUCAAGUUCAACAAAUGGCAAAGAAGUGAGAUGACAAAAAGGUGAGGACAACAACCUUUGCCGGGGUCAUACUCUCACUUAGUACACCACCACCAGCUGACUCAUCACCUCUCAAACAACGAAAGCCAAGAAAAAAACAGAAAAGCCCAUUCUGGCAGAUAUAACAUCUCAAGCUUCAUAAUCUGCCCUGGACUGGCUCUAAUCUGGUUUGGGUUUCUGCUGUUUGAGUCCCCAGAAGAGUGCUGACUCACUGUUCCCCUUUAGACUACCAGCAUCAAACUCAAAUAAUAAUGAAGGCCAGUAGGCCUUACAUAAGGAUCCUUGUGGGCUGACUUACUGACUUGUUGACUUAGAGAACCACACAUUUGUGUAUUUCUCUUUUUUUAAUAUAUAAACACAUUAAAAUCAGAUAGGAACUAUAUUUUGAUCUGGUUUCGACUGGUUUCAGGAGUGUUGUGGCCUGCAUGUGGCCUGCUGGCUUCAUGGGUGUCUCCUCUGCGUUGGACUGAGCAGCGCCACAUCUCCCCCUCGUUACUAGA